rnacentral:rRNA from 1 species
UUGAACGCUGGCGGCAUGCCUUACACAUGCAAGUCGAACGGUAGAGGGGCAACCCUUGAGAGUGGCGAACGGGUGAGUAAUGCAUCGGAACGUGCCCAGUCGUGGGGGAUAACGCAGCGAAAGCUGUGCUAAUACCGCAUGUGAUCUGUGGAUGAAAGCAGGGGACCGCAAGGCCUUGUGCGAUUGGAGCGGCCGAUGUCAGAUUAGCUAGUUGGUAGGGUAAAAGCCUACCAAGGCGACGAUCUGUAACUG